rnacentral:rRNA from 1 species
GACGAACGCUGGCGGCAUGCCUAACACAUGCAAGUCGAACGAGACCUCCCGGCCUUUUGGCGCACCUCUGCGUAACGCGUGGUAACCUGCCCUUAGGUUCGGUAUAACUCAGAGAAAUUUGAGCUCAUACCGGAUAAUGUCUUCGGACCAAAGAUCUAUCGCCUUUGGGUGGGCGCGCGUAGGAUUAGCUGGUUGGUGGGGUACUAGCCGAGCAUUGGCACGAUGCUUAGCUGGUCUGAGAGGAUGAUCAGUCACACUGGGACUGAGGCACGGCCCAGACUCCUACGGGAGGGAGGAGUGGGGAGUAUUGGACGAUGGGCGAAAGCCUGAUACAGCAGCGCGGGGUGAGAGAGGAAGGGCUUAGGGAUGUAAAGCUCUUUUACCAGAGAUGAUAAUGACGGUACCUGGAGAAGAAGCACCGGCUAACUCCGUG